ACAAAAACUAUAUGCGUCAGUUCCCUGCAGCAGUAAACAAACUAAUAAAAAUCAGGCAGAAAGACAGGGAGCAUAAAACAACAUAACAAGAUCUACAAGGAUUUCAAAGAUAAAAAUUAGCAAAUUAUAUUCAAGAAACAUAUAUUAUGAGAAUCAAAUAAGCAAUUAAAAACUUUCUUUAAAAAAUUAAAAAUGAGAACUUCAAACUUUCAGAGAACAUGAGGAAUAAUUAUAUUAGAAACAGAGAAAACCAAAAGAAUAUUUGGAAAAGAGAGAAUUAUAAUGCAUUCUGAUAUAAAGGCCUAGACCACUUAAAAUUACCCAUUUGUGUACAAAAAUUUAUUAAUAAACAUGGGGCAAUUAGGAGCUUAUAAAAAUAAAGCCCACUUACAAUUGAAAUGGCAUUCCUCUUUCAUACAGAAAAGAUCCAUUUUUCCUGAUAACAUUUUUCCCUAUUAUUCUUUCAGAAGGAAAGAAUUCAGGGAUUAAAAUAUAAAAGAAAGGUUAUAGGAAGUACUGCUUGAUCAUUUUGUCCAACUUAGUAUCAAUAAAUCAGCUUUUCUUAAUAUACAAAAUAUCAAUUUAGAUAAUUUAAACAAUCUACAUUAAUAAACUUUUGAUGAUUUGUUUUCUGGGUUGUCCCUUCAUUUGAAGUAUUUCAAUUUACAGUUUUUAACAACCAAUUAUUCAUUUUGACCAAAUCAUUGAUAGAUAUAAUAUCAAAACAUUGAAUCCAUUCCAUAUAUAGCCUUUGCAAAGAAAAACUUCUUGGGAAUAUCCAAGAAAGAAUAUGUUAAACCUUCAUAAAAAAAAUUUCCCAACCUAAUCUUUCCAGAAAAAGCGCAAGCAGUAAUUUUAGAGUCAACAAGAUCAAGACAUCCUGAUAACUCAACUAAGUAUAAAAAAAU
rnacentral:misc_RNA from 1 species